rnacentral:rRNA from 1 species
CCCUUAGAUGUUCUGGGCCGCACGCGCGCUACACUGAUGAAUGCAACGAGCUCUACCCUUGACCGAAAGGCCCGGGUAAACUUGUGAAACUUCAUCGUGAUGGGGAUAGAUUAUUGCAAUUAUUAAUCUUCAACGAGGAAUUCCUAGUAAGCGCGAGUCAUCAGCUCGCGUUGAUUACGCCCCUGCCCUUUGUACACACCGCCCGUCGCUCCUACCGAUUGAAUGGUCCGGUGAAAUCUUCGGAUUGCUGACCAAGAUCCAGCAAUGGAGCUUGGUUGCGAGAAGUUGAUUAAACCUUAUUAUUUAGAGGAAGGAGAAGUCGUAACA